rnacentral:lncRNA from 11 species
AGCUAACUCAUCAAACGAUAAAUCCCAAGAUUCCAUAGCAUUGAGCCAUGACUCUUAAAGUGGUGUCAAAAUGCAUUUCUUCUAUGGUGUAGAGAUACACCAUUGGUUGGAGCAGAGCCAUAUUUUGGAACAGGGAAACAUCUUGCUGAAGAGGAUUCUUUCAAAAACCAAGGCUUAGGAGGGAACUGCUCAUUUAUGCCUUUGCCACAAUCACAUCUUCUUUUCUUCCUUUCCGUAGUAUACCC